CGAAGGGCUAGCGUUACUCGGAAUUACUGGGCGUAAAGGGCGCGUAGGCGGCUUGGUAAGUCAGGCGUGAAAUUCCCGGGGCUCAACCUGGGGACUGCGCUUGAGACUGCUAGGCUAGAGGAUGGAAGAGGGUCGUGGAAUUCCCAGUGUAGAGGUGAAAUUCGUAGAUAUUGGGAAGAACACCGGUGGCGAAGGCGGCGACCUGGUCCAUUACUGACGCUGAGGCGCGACAGGCGUGGGGAGCAAACAGGAUU
rnacentral:rRNA from 1 species